rnacentral:tRNA from 1 species
AGAAAGUGACAGAGCGGGUAUGUAUCUGGCUUGAAACCAGGGCAUGGGGGUUCGACUCCCUCCUUUCUU